rnacentral:rRNA from 1 species
GACGAACGCUGGCGGCGUGCCUAAUACAUGCAAGUUGAGCGCUGAAGGUUGGUACUUGUACCAACUGGAUGAGCAGCGAACGGGUGGGUAACGCGUGGGGAAUCUGCCUUUGAGCGGGGGACAACAUUUGGAAACGAAUGCUAAUACCGCAUAAAAACUUUAAACACAAGUUUUAAGUUUGAAAGAUGCAAUUGCAUCACUCAAAGAUGAUCCCGCGUUGUAUUAGCUAGUUGGUGAGGUAAAGGCUCACCAAGGCGAUGAUACAUAGCCGACCUGAGAGGGUGAUCGGCCACAUUGGGACUGAGACACGGCCCAAACUCCUACGGGAGGCAGCAGUAGGGAAUCUUCGGCAAUGGACGAAAGUCUGACCGAGCAACGCCGCGUGAGUGAAGAAGGUUUUCGGAUCGUAAAACUCGGUUGGUAGAGAAGAACGUUGGUGAGAGUGGAAAGCUCAUCAAGUGACGGUAACUACCCAGAAAGGGACGGCUAACUACGUG